UGCUGCCACCAUCAACCAGCGUUCAGCCUGGGGAGUUCAGCUUUGCGUGUGCGUUCAUGUGAAGACUGAAGGCACGGAAAGCAGAAGGAUGCCAGAAUCCAAUCAAAGUCCUGCGCCCUGAAUACAACUGCCACUUCCUGUUUGCCAGCCUGGCCUUUUACCUGGAUUUGUUUGGGUGAAGCACAAAGAAACAAAACAAUUUGGAGGAUACCUCCACCUCCCCAGUCUUUCUUCCACCUGCUCCCUACACUCACUGCAGAUCACAGUGUCAUCAUAUUCCAUGGAGACUCCUGUCGGACCUCAUCUGUCAACCUGUCCGUCACCUUUGAUGGGCAAUGUAUUAAUAUGUCAUCAGCUACAUCGCCACGGGAUAAUGUAAUGUUUUUUUAAGUACAGCAUUUGCAAACAAUGUUAAUAGUUCAUCUACGGCUUCAGUACUUGGCAAAGUAAUUUUAUUAAAAGUCAUCCACAAGUAAUAGUAAUAGUUGUGUGUUUGCAGACAACCAUGUUCCCUCACCUAUCAGGUCAGAGGUUUGAUCUGAUUUCUGGCCAGCUUGCAGUCUUUCUUUUGGAUGUUAAACUCCAAAGUUCACUUUUGUCUCUAAAAGCCGAAACUAUCUUUUUGCUCUCUGACCUACUAAGCCACACGCAAGCAGCUUUUGGAGCAUUUUUUACUUUGGAUAUUGGACUUAAAAAGUUAUGUUUUAACUGUCAGUUGAUCACACAACCUUGAACUCCUGCCAGACCACACCAUGCCCAAGCUUUUUUUGGAGCCGUGUAAUUUUCACAGAGUUGAGCAGUACACAGAAUUCACUGGCUCAUGGUGACAUAUUCAUUGAGAAACUGAGACUUCAUAGUGCGAGUCUUUCUAUCUUUUUAGUGCUGGACAUUACAGUUUAGAAACCAAAUUUUAACAACAAGUUUAAAACUAACUCGGGAGAUAUUUUUGUCUUGGUGCUACCCAAGCUAAGCAGUUUUUUGCCCCCUACAGCUUUCAGUCUUUUUCUGAAGCUCAUCUAAGAAAACAUGUUAAAAACAAAGAGUACUGAAGUAUCUUGACUAAAACUCUGACCUGAAUUGGAGUAUUUAGAGGUGUAAAUAUCUCACUGUAAUAGCAAAAAAGCUCUGUAACCAUUGGAGCAGUUUCAUAAAUGUAUUUUAGAACAACAUUGCAUCUCUUUAUUUUAUGUUCAUUCUCCUGAAAAUACUUCCUGAUCUUAACUUAAAUACUUACAUUUGAAACUUUCAUAUGUAAGUCACUGUAAGUUAGUUAUACACUGCCCUUCCUCUGGGGCAAUUUAUUUUAGCAACAAAUUACAAUCUACUGCAAUAAUUUUAACUUUUUUUUAUUUUAGGAAAGCUCAAUAACAUGUUGGAAAUACUUCUUCUAUUACACCCAUGUUUUGAUGUUUAAAAAUGUUUUAAUCUACCCAUAAGUGCUUAGAUCUGGGGUAUAUUUCUAAUCCUCCUCUACUGAUCAUGAAAAACCUUUCAAAAGUGCCACAGUUUGUUUUGCCUAACUAAACCUUACUUUGCCAAUUCUUUGAUCAAAACUGUCCACUUCCCUCAGCAAAGACGGAGCUACUUUGUAUUUUUUUUUUCCCCUGCAUGUGUGUGUGAACCCAGCAAGCCGGCGGUCAUCAUUAAGACAGUAA